CAUAAUUAACUAUACUGUGCAGUACACUUGAAGACAAGUUUAUCUUGUCUUCAGUGAUAUUAUUUCACAAAAAGACUGUUCAGGUGAUAGCUAUGUGUCCGACAUUAUUUAAGAAGCAGUUUCAUGGAUGUAUACUUAUUUUAAAACUCUUAAUUUAAAAGAUAAAUAAAAUAUCUUUAUUGGGUGUCAGCCAUACCUCAAUUAUACAAAAGAAGUCAGCUGCACAAAGUGGGGACUCAUCAGGACCCUGGCUCUAGGCUUUGCAGCCUUGCUCUCCUUUGUACACAUGCUGAUUACCAUGGAGUCCCAUAGGUAGUGACAGUUUCUCAAACACUCCACCAAGGUCACAUUAGAACAAGAGGCCCAAGAGGCUGUGAUGCUGAGGAACCAGGUGAUGCCUCUUCAAAUAUCAAAGGACACUGACAGUGCAACAUGCCUCCUUCCUCGGAGGAUUCCUCACCUCUUGCUCAAUGUGGACCAUUCUGGAGACUUGGGAUGAAAUGAAAGGAUUAUAUGUGGGACUCUGAGCCUCAGCCAAAUUCCUAAGAAGUGAGCCAGCGCUGUGGCUGAGACCAAGCCCUGCUAGAGGAAUCCAAAGGCCAGUGGUUGAGAAAUGUUCUCUUGGCCCAUCAAAUGGAUGGUGAAAGCUUUGCCAAAGUACCAUCGCCAGUGGACUUACUGUUAGAUUAUUCAAGGUUCAAAUGCUUCUGUGGACUGCUAAGGGACUGGAGGCGUGAAGGCAUAAAAAGAUAUACCAGAAGUCACACAGUGAAGAACUUUCUCCUGCUCUACCCUAUGUGACCAUGCAAGAGUGGCAAGUGAACUCAGUUCUCUCAGAAGGACACAGGAAAGAGAAAGGAUUCAACAUGGCUGUAAAUUCAGAGAUAAAACAUCUUCAUAUGAAUUCUAGUGGGUCUUUGGUUGAAGAGGCUUGAGUCAAGGCUUUGGAAUUGUAAUGACAAAAGGGAAACUGUGAAAUUGUGUCUUUAAGCCUUAUGUAGAAAUCUCAUUUUGGGUACAUGACAAUCAUUUAGCACAAAAACAAGUAAUUGGAGUCUUGAUACACGUUAGAUAUUCAGUUAUAAGAGCGGAUAUACUACAACUUAUGGGCUCUUUAGAACUUGGAGUAGGGGCUGGAGGGAUGGCUCAGCAGUUAAAAGAACCUACGGCACUUGCUGAGUUCAGCUCGAAACACCCAUGCUGGGUAGCUCACGACCACCUGUAAC
rnacentral:lncRNA from 1 species